CAUUUAUUGAAAUAAAUAUAAUAUUUAUUGAAUAUAAACCAAGAUAUUCAUGUUUUACAUUUUUAUUAAAAUUGAAAAAUUGAAUUAAAUCUCGUAAGUAAAUUUGAAAACAAAGAAACGGGAUUCUUCGAGAUGGUCAAAUAAUGGGCAGAAAAUGUCAAGAUGGCGUCUGAAAUUAUAGGCUCAGAUGUAAUAUAGGCCAACAUUUGCCUACAGCUCGCGCUACUUGUUAAACUAUUAGCUUGAAAAAGUAAUAACAACAAAGUAAUGAUACAUUUAAAAUCAAUCUACACAUAAUAUGACUUUUUUUUAUUGGCCUAUGUGAUGGUGACCUUAAUUGAAUUUGUACUGAAUGAUUAAUGUGUUCAGCGUUGUUGGUCAUGUCCCAGAUAAAUACUAGGCAAUACUGUGCAGUUUGCAUUCAAUGGACUCAGACUGUAGGUGUCAGUACUCAAGUUGGCUUAAAACAGCUUCUAAGCAACCACGUGAACAGUCCAACUUUGAGGAAUCUACAGUCCUACAUCUGUUGAAAUGGUACUAACUGUGUGAAGAAGGUCGUUCAGAGGACAAGAGACAUUUCUCUACAAAGAUAUUGAUUUGGCCUUGAAAGCUGAACUACAAUAUCGAACUACAUUUACCUUUCUGAAAGAAAGAUGUUUAUGUCACAGACCAAAGCUAUGGGAGAGUAGUAAUUGGUCUCCUCGUAAUCAGUAAAUUAUCAAAUUAUCAAAAAUAUUUUAAUGCAUUUUAUAUUAUGAUAUAAUUCGUAUAAAAUACGAUAUAUAGUGCAAUAAUAAUAACAAUAAUCUUUUAUUAUCUUUCUAUUCAGCAUUUUACAAUUUACAAUUCCUAUAAAAUAUUUGCACUUGAUUUCUUUUAUAAAUAAUAAAACAUUUUUUCCAGCUCUGACUUUGUCUUCUUGGUUUUUCUUUGUGCUUGCUUAUUAUUGUCUUUACAAUUGAUCCUCAAAUGUCGUUAGUUGAAAGUUGAAACUUAACUUUUAAUUCAUAUUGACUAGACCACAAAACAAAAACAACAAAAAUAAAAUAUACUAAACUUUCAAAUGCUACAGGAUUAGUAUUACAU